UACAGAGGGGGCAAGCGUUGUUCGGAAUUACUGGGCGUAAAGCGCACGCAGGCGGCUCGUCAAGUUCGACGUGAAAGCUCCCGGCUUAACUGGGAGAGGUCGUUGAAAACUGGCGAGCUUGAGGCAAUGAGAGGGGUGUAGAAUUCCCGGUGUAGUGGUGGAAUGCGUAGAUAUCGGGAGGAAUACCAGUGGCGAAAGCGGCACCCUAGCGUUGUUCUGACGCUCAUGUGCGAAAGCGUGGGGAGCGAACGGG
rnacentral:rRNA from 1 species